rnacentral:rRNA from 1 species
UACGGAGGAUGCGAGCGUUAUCCGGAUUUAUUGGGUUUAAAGGGUGCGUAGGCGGCUUUUUAAGUCGGCGGUGAAAUUUUGCAGCUUAACUGUAACAGUGCCGUUGAUACUGGGGAGCUAGGAUUUGGUUGCUGUGGGUGGAAUGUGUGGUGUAGCGGUGAAAUGCUUAGAGAUCACACAGAAUAUCGAUUGCGAAGGCAGCUCACAAAGCCAAGAUUGACGCUGAGGCACGAAAGUGUGGGGAUCAAACAGGAUUAGA